rnacentral:tRNA from 1 species
GAGAGUGUAGCUCAGUGGUCAGAGUAAAUGCUUAGCAUGCAUGAGGUCCUGGCUUCAGUCCCCAGUACCUCCA